rnacentral:lncRNA from 1 species
CAUGGAGUGAUAUCAAUCCUUUUAUAUUAUGAUGUGGCAGGACAAACAUUUUUUGCAUGCAUGUAACCGGUGCCCCACAGCAUUAUUUAUUCAAAAAUUGGGAAAAAAAUUUAGAAAUAAAAGAAGAUGGGAACAAUAUAUAUAUGAUUUUUCUUAUGUCGACGUUAAGUGCCUUGAGAAAGCCACACCAGCCUCCACUGAGAUCCAAAUAUGCUCAUUAAUUUAUUCCAUCACUCGCAAGCGAGGAACGUCAUUUAUUUAUUUAUUUUUGAAUGGAAAUUAAGGUCUGGCGGUUGUAUUCAACCACCUAGAUUUUAUUAGUAGUGAGGCAGAAAUGAGGACAAAAGAAGGGGGGAGGAUAAUACCACACCCAGCCUAACCAAGCACCAAUUA